rnacentral:rRNA from 1 species
AUGAAACUUGACCUAGCUUCAAUCAGUAGACGAGUUGCAAACCUGGACUCUCUGUCGGCUCCCUUCACACAUCGAGAAAUCGAUGAUGUUGUUCGCUCCAUGCCAGUUGAUCGUGCCCUGGGCCCGGAUGGAUUUAACGGUGCUUUUUUGAAAAGUUGCUGGCAUAUAAUUAAUAGGGAUUUCUAUAAACUUUGUGAUGACUUUUGGAAAGGUGGGCUUGAUCUCACUAGCAUCAACUCUGGAUUUAUCACCUUGAUACCAAAGAUUGGUUCACCGGAGACAACGAAUGACUUUCGCCCGAUCACACUGCUUAACUGUUGUCUCAAAGUCAUCACGAAAAUCCUAGCCAACAGACUGCAAAACUUGAUCCUCGACAUAGUGCAUAAAAACCAGUAUGGGUUUCUCCAUGGCAGAACGAUCCAAGACUGUCUCGCCUAG